CGCCAGCUUAUUCCGCAGCACUUCACAAUAAGAGGGGAAUUUACCAAAUGAGACUAAAUGUGUAACCGCUGGUUCCCUUAUUUACCACUAUAAUGUCUUAAAGCAUAGAACUUAGUAGGGCUAACCAUACAGAUAUCUUAGCCAUAAUUUUAUAUAGUGUAAGAGAUCCUCUAUUUAACAUAUAUAAAUAAUUGAGAAUACAAUAUAAAAUAAGGAUUGUCUUGGAAGCAA